AUCGUUCAAUCUACUAUGUAGAUCGGAAGUAAGCUUCUUGCUGAAGGAACGCGCA
rnacentral:ncRNA from 10 species